rnacentral:rRNA from 1 species
UUCCGGUUGAUCCUGCCGGACCUGACUGCUAUCGGAUUGAUACUAAGCCAUGCGAGUCUUUGCAGUAAUGCAAGGCAUACGGCUCAGUAACACGUAGUCAACUUACCCUAUGGACGAGGAUAAUCUCGGGAAACUGAGCAUAAUUCUUGAUAGAUCAUAAUGCCUGGAAUGGUUUAUGGUUAAAAUGAUUCGUCGCCAUAGGAUGGGACUGCGGCCUAUCAGCUUGUUGGUGAGGUAAUGGCCCACCAAGGCGAUUACAGGUACGGGCUCUGAGAGGAGAAGCCCGGAGAUGGGUACUGAGACAAGGACCCAGGCCCUAUGGGGCGCAGCAGGCGAGAAAACUUUGCAAUGUGCGAAAGCACGACAAGGUUAGUCCGAGUGAUUUCUGCUAAAGAGAUCUUUUGCUAGUUAUAAAACCACUAGUGAAUAAGGGGUGGGCAAGUUCUGGUGUCAGCCGCCGCGGUAAAACCAGCACCUCAAGUGGUCAGGAUGAUUAUUGGGCCUAAAGCAUCCGUAGCCGGCUCUGUAGGUCUUAUGUUAAAAUCAAUUGCUUAACAAUUGAACUGCAUGAGAUACCACAAAACUAGGAGGCGGGAGAGGUGGACGGUAUUCCACGGGUAGGGGUAAAAUCCUCUGAACCGUGGAGGACCACCAGUGGCGAAGGCGGUCCACCAGAACGCGCUCGACGGUGAGGGAUGAAAGCUGGGGUAGCGAACCGGAUUAGAUACCCGGGUAGUCCCAGCUGUAAACGAUGCAAGCUAGGUGAUGCAUUAGCCACGUGUUAAUGCAGUGCCGCAGGGAAGCCGUUAAGCUUGCCGCCUGGGGAGUACGGUCGCAAGGCUGAAACUUAAAGGAAUUGGCGGGGGAGCACCACAAGGGGUGAAGCCUGCGGUUCAAUUGGAGUCAACGCCGG